GCGAUCAUACCAGCACUUAAUUGCACCGGAUCCCAUCAGAAACUCCGCAGUCAAACGUGCUUGGGCGAGAGUAGUACUAGAAUGGGUGACCUCCUGGGAAGGUCCUCGUGUUGCACCCA
rnacentral:rRNA from 1 species